rnacentral:ribozyme from 1 species
AGAAGUGAGUAGUAAUGCUGAUGGAAUAGUGAACAUGUUGCAUUACGAAGACGCUGCAGCUGCUGCCAUCGCUGCCAUUAAAUGCAAUGAGAGAGGGAAAGUGUAUUUAGUAUGUGAUGAUCUUUCUCUCUCUCGGAUGGAGAUCUGUGAGGCAGCGCUUGAGU